rnacentral:ncRNA from 1 species
UACCAUAUUGAUAUGUGGUGUUUGCAUGUCGGAACUCAACGCUCGCUUCUUUUGUUUUUCCUAUUUUGUGAUUAUUAAUGUAAGUUGUAUGAAUAGAAAACUAGAACGAGGCUACUUGAUAGAUUUUUAGAGAUAAACAUUAUCUUAACGGAUUGGGUCAUACCUCCGAUGUUACUUUUAAGAAAUUAAAGUGCCCAAAGCAAGUUUACUCUUUGUAUACAUUAGUGGGAUAAAAUCAUUGAAUUUUGAUACUAUUCUGUUGGCCUUUGGACCAGAGCAAUGAUUAAUAGGGAUAGUUAGGGGCAUUCAUAUUUUGUAGCCAAAGGUGAAGUUCUUGGGUUUAUUAAAGAUGAACAAUUGGUAAUGCAUUCCCUAAGUAUGUUUUCAUUAAUAAAAAGUAAAAGUUGAUGAGUUGAAGAUGAUCAAAUACCUUCCUACUUUUAACCAUAAAUGUGUUGUGUAAGGAUCAAAAGAUGUUGCUUUAAGGACUUUGCUAACGCCUUAUGAGAAAGAAAUCAAAGUCCUUGGGGUCCAAGGGAAGUAUGGUUGCAAGGUUGAAAAUUAAGGGAUUAUGACAGAGGGCACCACCAGGAGUAGAGCAUGUGACUUAAUUUGAUUCAACAUGGAAAAACUUACUACGUCUAGACAUACUAAAGAGUGAUAGACUAAAAGCUCUUUUUUGAUUCUAUGGGUGGUGGUGCAUUGUCUUUUUCAGUUGGUGGAGUGAUUUUCUAGUUAAUUUCAAGAGACUUCAACCUGCUAACUAGGUAUGCGAAGGUACCCCUUUGUGACCACUUCUUAGAGGGACUAUGACCACUUAGUUUAAGGAAGUUUGAGACAAUUAUAGGUUUAUGAUGACCCAUUACAAUGAUGCAUUUAAACAUUCAACCUUGGUUGACUUCAAAUAAUCUUGAAAUUUCAUCAUAAUGGGGAUAAAUUCUUGCAAUUGUUGGUGUUCAACUAGGAACUCUUAGUAAGCAUGAGUCAUCAGCUUGAGUUGACUACAUCCAGGCCUUUUGUACACAUAGCUUGUCUUAGAAAGUCCUCUUAACCCUUAUCAUUUAGAGGAAGGAGAAGUCAAAACAAGGUUUUCAUAAGUGAACUUGCUCAAAAAUCGUUG